rnacentral:lncRNA from 1 species
AUUUUAUUUAUUUUUUUACGUGUAAUGAAAGGAAAAUGUGUCUCCUUGCCUAUGUAACAGACAUAUUUGGGAAACUGAAUGAACUGAAUGCAAGCAUACAGGGAAAAUACAAAAAAAUUCUACAGAUGAGUGACCGAAUCAGUGGAUUCGGAGGAAAUCAUUCUUAUUGGAGAGUCUUUCAAAAACGAACCAUGACCCCCUUCCCUCGGCUGUGCAUGUUUCUAACAGAAAACAGUUGUGAUGACUGCACAUAUCCAACGCUUGGAAGAGCACUUUGGGACAUACUUCCCUAUCCGUUUGGCUGUGAGCCUGGCUCAGCGGACAUGCUGGUUAGUGAAAUCGAACAGCUGAUCGAGCUGUCAUAAUACCGAAUGCAGACAACAUAUUCAUGUGUCACUACGGAGGAGUUUUAGUUCCUGACUCAAACGGAAUACCCUGCCGUCUCCAUCUGAGCAUUAAAACUCAUGGUACCCUUCGCCAGAUCAUAUCUGUGUGAAGCUGUGUUCAGGGCUCUUGUCUACAUUAAAACCAAAUAUAGAUCCUGGUUGGAUGUGACCGCAGGGAAAUAGUGUUAGGAUGUUUUUCAAUUGACUGACAUAGCCCCAAAUAUUAAAGUAAACAUUGGCUGGUCUAGGGUUUACCGGCUAUGGUACGACAAACAAAAAACCUCCAGUCAGCGGCAGUACUGUGGGCAAAAACAGCUUGUUGACAAGAGAGGUCGAAGGAGAAUGGCAAGAAUCGUGCAAGCGAACAGGCAGGCCACAAACAGGCAAAUAACAGUGCAGUACAACAGUGGUGAGCAGAACAGCAUCUUGGAAUACACAACUCGUCAGCCCUUGUCACGGAUGGGCUAUUGCAGCAGAUAACCUCCCUGUGUUCCACUCCUGAAAGAUAAAAACAAGAAGAAGCGGCUUCGAUGGGCACGCCACCACCAACACUGGACAAUUGAGGAGUGGAAAAACAUCACCUGGUCUGAUAAAUCCCAUUUCCUGUUGUGUCAUGCUGAUCGCACAGUCAGGAUUUGGCGUAAGCAGCAUGAGCACAUGGCCCCAUCCUGCCUGGUGUCAACAGUACAGGCUGUGGUGUAAUGGUGUGGGGAAUAUUUUCCUUGGCAAACGUUAGGUCCCUUGAUACCAAUUGAGCAAUGUUUGAAUGCCACACCUUUAUAGAAUUGAUGCCCCGAAGAAUUCAGACAGCUCUGGAGGCAAAGGUGGGUCUGACCUGGUACGAAAUGGGUGUACCUAAUAAACUGGCAACUGAGUGUAUAAUACCACAUUUUUAUAUAUCAAAAUGUAUUGGUCGCGUACACAUUGUGCAGAUAUAUUGCGGGUGUAGCUAAAUGCUUAUGUUCCUACCUCCAACAGUGCAGUAAUACCUAACAAUACACGCAAAUUAAAUUAAGAAAUAUUAGAACGAGCAAUGUCAGAGUCCGCAAUAUAAAUAUACAGUGAGCUCCAACAGUAUUGGGACAGUGACAUAUUCCAAUAUUCAACUACUUGCAUUUUUUUUUUUAAACGGCACAAUGUGAGGAAAUGGUGUGACGGUGUGACCCACUCUCCAAGUGACCACUUGAACCCAGAGCACGAGCCACGGCAGCAUCGCUUAGCAGUCACUGCGACAGAGUAAAUAGGACACUUCUUAUCAAAACAAAAGUGUAGAUACAGAGAGAGAGGAAGUAUGGAGAAAAUGUGGAACAGUCUUUUAUCAUCAAAACAGCCUAACCAUGUCAAUCUAUCAACAGUGUAUCACGAAUUUACGUUACCACUCUCUUUUUCUUCAGCAUGAGUAGCCUGACUGGACAGGCCUAUAUUAAUUCCUUCAGCAUGAGUAGCCUGACUGGACAGGCCUAUAUUAAUUCCUUCAGCAUGAGUAGCCUGACUGGACAGGCCUAUAUUAAUUCCUUCAGCAUGAGGAACCUGACUGCACAGGCCUAUAUUAAUUCCUUCAGCAUGAGUAGCCUGACUGGACAGGCCUAUAUUAAUUCCUUCAGCAUGAGUAGCCUGACUGGACAGGCCUAUAUUAAUUCCUUCAGCAUGAGGAACCUGACUGCACAGGCCUAUAUUAAUUCCUUCAGCAUGAGUAGCCUGACUGAACAGGCCUAUAUUAAUUCCUUCAGCAUGAGUAGCCUGACUGGACAGGCCUAUAUUAAUUCCUUCAGCAUGAGGAACCUGACUGCACAGGCCUAUAUUAAUUCCUUCAGCAUGAGUAGCCUGACUGGACAGGCCUAUAUUAAUUCCUUCAGCAUGAGUAGCCUGACUGGACAGGCCUAUAUUAAUUCCUUCAGCAUGAGUAGCCUGACUGGACAGGCCUAUAUUAAUUCCUUCAGCAUGAGUAGCCUGACUGGACAGGCCUAUAUUA